rnacentral:rRNA from 1 species
CGGAGAGGCAGGCGGAAUUCCCAGUGUAGCGUUGAAAUGCGUAGAUAUUGGGAGGAACACCAGUGGCUAAGGCGGCCUGCUGGACGACAACUGACGCUGACGCGCGAAAGCGUGGGGAGCAAACAGGAUUAGAUACCCUGGUAUUCCACGCUGUAAACGAUCCCUACUAUGUGUGGGGGGACUGACCCCCUCCGUGCCGGACUUAACACAAGAAGUAUUCCACCUGGGGAGUACGGCCGCAAGGUUUAAACUC